rnacentral:rRNA from 1 species
AACGAACGCUGGCGGCAUGCCUAACACAUGCAAGUCGAACGAGACCUUCGAGUCUAGUGGCGCACGGGUGCGUAACGCGUGGGAACCUGCCCUUAGGUUCGGAAUAACUCCCCGAAAGGGGUGCUAAUACCGGAUAAUGUCUUCGGACCAAAGAUUUAUCGCCUUUGGAUGGGCCCGCGUUGGAUUAGCUAGUUAGUAGGGUAAAAGCCUACCAAGGCGACGAUCCAUAGCUGGUCUGAGAGGAUGAUCAGCCACACUGGGACUGAGACACGGCCCAGACUCCUACGGGAGGCAGCAGUGGGGAAUAUUGGACAAUGGGCGAAAGCCUGAUCCAGCAAUGCCGCGUGAGUGAUGAAGGCCUUAGGGUUGUAAAGCUCUUUUACCCGGGAUGAUAAUGACAGUACCGGGAGAAUAAGCUCCGGCUAACUCCGUG